GUCGAGGGGCAGCGGGGUUGUAGCAAUACAACUGCCGGCGACCGGCGCACUGGUGAGUAACACGUAUGUAACCUGCCCUCUGCAGGGGGAUAAGCGGAAGAAAUUCCGUCUAAUACCGCAUAAUACAAUUUGGAGACAUCUCCGGGUUGUCAAAGGAGUGAUCCGGCAGAGGAUGGACAUGCGGCGCAUUAGCUAGUCGGCGGGGUAACGGCCCACCGAGGCUACGAUGCGUAGGGGUUCUGAGAGGAAGGUCCCCCACACUGGUACUGAGACACGGACCAGACUCCUACGGGAGGCAGCAGUGAGGAAUAUUGGUCAAUGGGCGGAAGCCUGAACCAGCCAAGUCGCGUGAGGGAAGAUGGUCCUAUGGAUUGUAAACCUCUUUUGCAGGGGAGCAAGGCGCGGUACGUGUACCGCGAAGGAGAGUACCCUGAGAAAAAGCAUCGGCUAACUCCGUGCCAGCAGCCGCGGUAAUACGGAGGAUGCGAGCGUUAUCCGGAUUUAUUGGGUUUAAAGGGUGCGCAGGCGGACUGUUAAGUCAGCGGUAAAAUGUCGGUGCUCAACACCGGCCGGCCGUUGAAACUGGCAGCCUUGAGUGAGCGAGAAGUAUGCGGAAUGCGUGGUGUAGCGGUGAAAUGCAUAGAUAUCACGCAGAACUCCGAUUGCGAAGGCAGCAUACCGGCGCUCAACUGACGCUCAGGCACGAAAGCGUGGGUAUCGAACAGGCUUAGAUACCCUGGUAGUCCACGCAGUAAACGAUGAAUGCUCACUGUCCGGGCCGUUAAGGCCUGGGUGGUCAAGCGAAAGCGUUAAGCAUUC
rnacentral:rRNA from 1 species